CAUAGCUCUCCUUCUUCAGAUUCUGGCUUCCUUUAUUCCUUCCCUUCCAUCUCCUUCGUACAUUUGUCCUGGUGCUAGAGGAGAGAGCCAAUGGCAGAAGCCAUGUGUGGAAGCAGGAUGGAUGUUUGAAGAGCCUCAGGCUAAAUCAUGGAGCACCUAGCCCUCUUCUCUUUGAUAGCAAGGGCAAUCGGUCCGUAUCUGCCAGCUUGGAGCUGCUCUGUAAACCCAGAAACCUAACACCUAGAAUAAUAACUGCCUGUAAGCAUGCCGAACUCUCUAAACUGGUGAUGAAAUAUGUCACUAGUGAAGGGACUAGUGGUCCCAGGGGAGCUGGACACCUGACACUGUGCUCUGGACAUUGGAGCAUUCCUCAGUGGAGCUGUGGUGGUUUCCAUCUCAGUCCUUUCAUGCUACCAGUUGACAAGAGCCAUCUCAAGAGCAGAGGUGAAUUGAGAGGAUUCUUUU
rnacentral:lncRNA from 1 species